rnacentral:lncRNA from 1 species
AUGAGAGAACACGAGGGUUCUGUUGGUGAUCGUGGCCGGACGCCUGGGAGCCAAUGCCCUGUGCCUUCCCAAGGUCAGUCCUGUAAGUCAGGGAAGGCUCUCUCCUGCCAGAUUGGUUUGAAAUGGAUUGUCAGGAAUUGUCCGGAACGGCAACCUUCCCGGUUGGGUCUGGGGAGCCUCCCGUGUCCAUUCCGUGUCAGCCUUCGGGGGAAGGUCAAAAAACACAAAACCAGCCCACCCGCGCGGGUGAUCUGCGUACGGCGCCUUAGACACCACGCCAGGGAAGGGUGUGCCUCAGAUCACAGGGUGAGGAGAAGACCACCAAGCUCCCAGCCCGUCUCCCUCCCGCGGUGUAGACUGAACCCAUGGCGUGCAGCAGGGAGGGAGGCCUCAGCUGACCUUUGUUACCUGCUGGCGUGCACACAGCCUCGACCCGAGCCCCAUCAAAGGCCGCCCCGGGAAAGCAGGUCAUAUUCCCAGAAGCUCCUGAGGACUACACAGGUAUUUAAAUAGUGCCUGCUGGUUGACGGAGACUUUGCAGAUAUUAGCUCACAGCCAUGACAAACCCAGGAAGCAAACAAUGUCAUUACCUCUGAUGUUCAGGUCAGGGAGCUCAGCCUCAGAGCAGGACCACCAGAACUGGAAGAUUGAGUGAGGGAGAGGCGAAGCCAGGCUGUGACCCCAAGUCCUGUGCACCUCCCACGGCACGCACUGCCUCACUCUGACCUGUGUGCUCAGAGCAGUGGUCCUUGGUCCUGGGCACAGCAGAGUCAGCCGGAAAGUCUGCUGAAAAUGCACCAUUUCUGGUCUCUCCCUCCUCCCCCUGGGAGAUUUGGAUUCGGUAGUUCUGGGCAGGGCCUGGGCAACAGGAUCUUUAUCAAGUGAAAAUCUGUUGUUGAGUAAAAGCAAUCUCAAGCAAAAAGAACAAAGAAGCAUCAUGUUUCCGGAUUUAAAAUUAUACUACAAAGCUAUGGUAAGCAAAGCAGUACGGUACUGGCCUAUAAACAGACACAGAAUUCAAUGGAACGGAAGAGAGAGCCCAGAGAUAAAAUUAUGCACAUAUGAUCAAUAAAUUUUCCACAAAGGACUGAGAAUACUCA